CUGCGUCUCCUCGGCCAGCCGCGCCCGCUCCAGCGCGGCCUGCGCCCGCUCGCCGUGUGCCUCCUCCAAACGGGCGCGCAGGGCCCGCAGCUCCCCGCCCAGCAGCUGCCCCAGACGGCGCGGUUCGGGAGGCAGCCGCCUUAGCUCCGCCAGCUCGCCGGCCAGAGCCCGGUUGCGCUCUUCCAGCGCCCGGACACGCUCGAUGUAACCGGCGAAGCGCUCGUUGAGGCCCCGCAGCUGCUCCUUCUCGCUAGCACGGCGCGGCUCAGCGCCCUCCGUGCGCCGCGGGGACUGGGCGAGCAGGCGGCGGGAGGAGGCGGCUAGCGCCGGCGGUUCCACGCUGUAGCUCAUCGCGGCGGAGAGGAGCGAAGCGAGGCGGGCGGCGGCGGAGCGCUUAUGUGACAAGAGGAUCAUGUCAGCGAGGUCCAGCUGGUGAGAAGAGGGCGAGCAAGCCAGGACUGGAGAGAGUCAUUGCUUCCAUAAGAGCUGCUGUUGUUUCAAAGGGACCAACCAAAGCAGGAGGAAUGGCACUGGGAUUCAAAUCCCUUCGAGACCAGAACCGUGUGACUACCAUGGCCCUGGAGGAAGCCCUGCAAUCAUGGCAACAAUUGCGUCUUGUAGAAGAGCCCACAUCCCAAUUGGCACACUUGGAAGGGGAUCACAAGGCAGAAACAUCCCUUUUCCUUGUGAGUGAGUUGGGUGCAGCACUACACACACCACUGCUCACUGCGGCAGCAGGCUGGUCCCAGAUGUGCUGUCAUGGGUUAGUAAUGGGAUGCACAUGCAUACAUAUAAAUCCUGCUUUAGUCUUGUGAAUCUGCCUUGAAGAGUAUGGGAGGAAUAAGAAGUGUCAGCCAGAAGAGACAAAGAAAAGAGCCAGGAAGUAUAAAUACAAGAGACUUGGCUUGUGCACUGCUUUCCAGGACUCAAAUCUGCUCGCAGAUAGCUUUCCUAGAAACAUUCUAUCUUUCUGAAGCCCAUUUUAGAACAGUCACUGUGAGGUUGCAACACUUGUCUCUUCUCUGCCCUGUCUCAUCCCUGGAGGUGUUCAAGGCAGGGUUGGAAAGGGGCUUUGGGCAACCUGGUCUAGUGCAAGGUGUCCCUGGACAUAACAUAGAGUUGGAACUGGGUGGUCUUCAAGCUCUCUUCCAACCCAAACCAUUCUGUGAUUCUGUGACCCAAGUGCAUAUGUUCUGGUGGCAGAACAAGCCCUGGAGCCACAGCCUAUGGCCCUGCAGCACCCACUUGGCCUAGGCAGAAAUCUUCACUUUGAUCUAGGUUGGUUGUUUCAGGUCUUUCACAUCCUCAUACACAAAUGUGUUUCACUACUUCCUUGACCUCUGUUGUUUUGCAUUACCAUAUCGCAAGUGAAGCUUCUUCUACCAGCAAUAAUUGUUUGAGUUACUCAGAGGUCGCCAGCUCUGCUUAGCUAAGUAGUAUCACUUUUAUAACUUUGCUAUGGUGAUUAUUACUGAUGAUGAUGAAUGCUGUUCUGGCUUUCUUUUGUCUUGGUAAAGCAGAGUGCAACCUUUCCUGGCCUUCCCACUUGUUCUGAUUUAGUACUGACAUACAGAUGUGCUCUAAAAGCAGUUGGGAGUGUCACAGUCUCCUACAUAAAAGAAAAAUUAAUAACAACAACAACAAAAAACUGCAAGGGUCUCUGCAAGGGCUGCUGACAUCCAUGAGUAAAGAUCCUGGGAAUGGAUCCCUUUGCCUCCACGUAGAUGAAAUUUCUUGACUCAGAAGGGAAUGAGACUACAGGAAUUAGGUGGGACCUGAGCCAGCUGUCAGUGUAACUGCUGAGAGCACGUCUCUGAAUUUAUUGACUCUGAGGAGUCUGAGUCAAUAAAUGAUAGCAACUGCUUCUUUCCCACAGAGCAAAGAUUCAGCUCCAGCCCAUCGGAUGCUGCUUCUGUCAGAGGAGGAAGGGAGAGCAGGGACUUUGGGAUCCACCCUGCAUGAGCUGAAAGGCCUUGAGAAUCCAUUCGGCAAAAGGGAUGAAUGUGCACUUCGGGUUCCUGCAGGAUCAAGAAGCUGCUUCCAUACUGAGGUCCUGGCUGUGAGACAGCAGGAGGAUGCCUUAAAGCUUCGUGGCCCUGCACCGUGCCCACCUGCUGGCGGGGCUUUGUUAAUUCACUUCAGUGGCGGCCCAGGAGGGAAACGCUUCCCGGCUGCUGAACCGAGGG
ensembl:lncRNA